UUCAUGAUUGGCCUAUAACAUAAAACCCCAAAAAAAAUUAAGUGUCCCGCUCUUCUUCACUGUACAACCCCCGCGCAUUCCUUUUCUUCUCCUUCUUUUUCAUUCCGCCAGCGACCCAAACGACUCCUCAACUACGGUCAUGGAACUGACUCUCCCUUCUCAACUCUGGUCAUGAUAGUGCCGUCCUCAACUCUGCGCGACAUCCUCAGCUUCACCAAGGCCGUCAUUCGACAGCAGCUCCUUCCGUCAAUUGUGGCAAAGUUGUGUUAGCGGAUUAAUUGGAGGAAAUAUUAUCAAAGAAAGUUAAGUAUAAUUAAUUUCUUCUUAUUGUUUAUGUAUAAUCUUUCUAAUUUCAGAAAAAUUGAGGAUGAGACUUGAGAAUCUAGCUUGCAAGCUAUGAUUAAAUGAGUUUCAAGUAUGGUUCAUAGUCUCUCUUUCUUUGUUUCUUCUUGGCUGGUUGUUUAUUGAAUACAUUUUAGCACCCCUACUCUUUAAAAGGUUCACUUUCAUAAAAAAUAAUAAUAGUAAGUUAUUUUUUAGCCUUUAACUGUCCAUUGAUGUUUUUAUUUUCGUGUUGUUUUCUAGAAAGAACCAAAUCAAUAGUCUAUUGGCAAUAGGGAUAGAGGAACUAUCAUUUUUAUUUAACAAGAGAAGAUAAUAUUCUGUUAGGAACUAUCAUGAGAUAUUGUUUAUUUUUUCUAUUGUUUUGAAAGCAGAUUUUUAAAUGGAUUUGGUUCAGAAUUAGCCUUAAUAUUAGUACUAAUUUGAAUUGUUUUAGUGGGACACUCCAAAUUCCAAUGAAUAAUCAUUCCAAAAGCCUUGCUUUAAUUUAUGCAUCACACGUAGGCAAAUCCUGAUGACUAAUUAUUUUAUAUACAUGUAUAUAUACAUUACUUAAAAGGGGUGCGAUCUAAUUGCUAUGUUUAAUUUGUGAUCAUGUUCUUGACUCAAUUGUGAGUCUGCUAAUUACAUGUUUUUUUUGGUUUGUCAAAGGACGGUGUACUAAUAUGAUGACUGAGUUCUUUGACACUUUUUAUGAGGAGAAUAUGUGAUUUGGGGGACCAUUUGUGUUCUUUCAGACACUCCCAGAUUAUGAAAGGCAUAAAACGCAAGGAGUUGAGUUUAGUGCACCUGUACUAAUUUUGACUUGAUUUUCUAGUACCAUAAUUCUCAGACUAAAGAUUUCUUGGUCUAAAUCUAUUACUAAUUUUUAAUAUUUUAGUUUCAUUAAGCUUUCUCUUUAUCUCUACAUAUAUAUGAUUGUAUCAUGCAAGUAUCAUCUUGAUUGUGACUAAAUAUAUGUGUGCCUUAACAAUGGCCAGAUAGAUAGUGAUGUCAGAUUUGGUUAGCAAGGUUUAUGUGUCUGUUGUGUGUCAUUUAUAAACUAGUUUCAGCCAUAUCAAUUUCACUUUUUUUUUUUUACAAUUAUGAUAUUUGGAUAGGAGAAAUCUUUGAACUCAAAAUUUAUCUUUGUUUUGUUGGGAUCAUCUUGAGUCUCUCAAACAAAAAUGAAGCAAGAACCACUUCUACUUUUGUAGUUGCACUUGGACACUGUUGAGGUGAAGUCGUAUUCAGGCAAAUCAUUCUUUA